rnacentral:rRNA from 1 species
GAUGAACGCUAGCGGCAGGCCUAACACAUGCAAGUCGAGGGGUAGCAGGAUUAAGCUUGCUUAAUUGCUGACGACCGGCGCACGGGUGCGUAACGCGUAUGCAACCUACCUUAUACUGGGGUAUAGCCCGGAGAAAUUCGGAUUAAUCCCCCAUAGUACUGUUUAAUCGCAUGGUUGAACAGUUAAAGCAUUGCGGUAUAAGAUGGGCAUGCGUCCUAUUAGCUAGAUGGUGAGGUAACGGCUCACCAUGGCUACGAUAGGUAGGGGGCCUGAGAGGGUGGUCCCCCACACUGGUACUGAGACACGGACCAGACUCCUACGGGAGGCAGCAGUGAGGAAUAUUGGUCAAAUGGGCGCAAGCCUGAACCAGCCAUGCCGCGUGCAGGAAGAAUGCCCUAUGGGUUGUAAACUGCUUUUAUUUGGGAAUAAACCUCUUUACGNGUAGAGAGCUGAAGGUACCAAAUGAAUAAGCACCGGCUAACUCCGUGCCAG